UAUAUAUAUUUUGUCUUCUUUUAAAAACAAUUUUUUUUAUUUGAUUACCUUAAAUAAACCAACUUCAAUUCCAAAACAUAUUCAGAAGAACUAAAGAUCUUCCAGGAAUUGAAGUGGAGGCAAACUAGAUCCGAUUAAUUCUGCUAUAUUAAACACCCACACUUAUCCGUUCUCCACGUUUACAUAUUCAUCCUGGGACUAAUGCAGUUACCAAUACUGUAAUCUGUUUGGCAGUCGCAUGCUGCAAAAAAGUCAUUACAUGUGAGCCUUUUUUAAUGAACAAAUCUAAUGAAGUGCACUAAUAUGUUAGCAGCAAGAUUCCUCUCACCUUGGGGGGGUGAUGUAUGCAUGUGGGUGGGGGCAAAUGAAGGGCUUAAGUGGUUUUGACAUGGCUGAAACGCAUCCCUGAGGACAAAAGGAGGAAUCAGUUGAAGGGCAAAUCUCAACAGAUUAUGAUUUUUCAUCCUAGUGUCAUCAUGGAGGCGUCACCGGCAGACGGUUGACUUCUGGAGGAACCAAGAGACGGAGAAGAAAGUGUCCUGAUGUGAUUCUAUGCCGCGUUAAAGCCAAUAAUGGGAUGAACUGCUCCAACAUUUACUAAUCUGCUGUCUCUGAGAAUCUUCUGACAUAAACGAGCCAAACCGCGAGGCUUGAUGGAUUCAUUAGCUUGGAGGAAAGAAGCCCCGCCCACUCAGACACUGUUCAAACCUGCUGUCUGCAUCAUUCAUGUACGACAGAGAUUUAGGGCCAGUUUACAAACAAUCUUUUUUUAAAUUGCAACUUAAAAGUUCUUAUGAGAAAAAAAGUCAGAACUGUUAAAUUACGAGAAUAAAGUCGCAAAUUGGGACCAAACAAACAAAAGCAGCUAUUACACACAAACAUGAACACACACAAGCACGCGCAAAAACACACUCAAACAUUUAUGCACACUGUGUAUUCACGUUUGAGUUUUUUUGUUUGUUGAGUGUGCAUAUUUGUGUUUGUGUGUCUGUGCACACACACAAACUCAUGUAGCGAAACGUAAACAAACAAGUACAAUAAACAGAAUCACACAAAUGCCUGAAAACAUGCACACACAUAAACACAGUAAAAUGCAAAACAUACACACAUAAAGAGGCACAAACAUGCACUCACAAACCAAUAAAAUGCUCACAAACAUGAAUGCACAAAUAAAACAUACACAAGCGCACAUGCACACACAAAGUAAAAUGUAAACAUCCAUGCACACACAAAAACAGACACACGAAGCACACACAUGCACGCACAAACAAACCAAUAAAAUGCUCACGAAUGCACAAAAAAAUCGUACACAAAAACACGCAUGCACACACAUAAACGGUAAAAUGCAAACAUGCACACAAAAACAGACACACAAAGAAGCACACACAGACACACAAUAUGAAAAAAGAAAGCAGAACAUUAUAAAUGACAUGGAAACAACAAACUUUAAGUGUAAUAAAUUGAAACACGUCUCUUUUUCUCAUUAAAGUCGCAGCAGUAAAGAUGCGAAUGUUAAUAAAAACAUUUUAACGAAUAAUAAAAAUUAAAAAGCCACCCCCCUAUCCUUUAAUCGCUUCAAGAAGAUCUCCUGGCUUAUUAAUACGUCAAUUGGUCUUAGAUUAAACAUGAAGAAGCCUUCCAGGCGCUGAUGGUGAGUCAUUUCAAUACCAAGCUAACAGUUUUAUCCACACGUGUCAAAACUGACACAGGAGCUGCAGAUUUCAUGAGAAAAAAAUUCCUCUUUACCUUUUACACACACUUAUAUCUGCUCAUAUUCUAAACAGACGUGACAUUGAUAAAUUGCCUUGUUCACCUGUUAAAUGUCACAAAAAGCAUAACAUACUUUCAGAUUGAGGAACUUUUGGUACAGUAAAUGGAAACACUUUGAAAACAAUGAAGUUAUGCAUCAUUUUCUGCUUUUUUUUGCUCACUUGAAAUACCAAGAAUACCAUCAUAACUUGUAAAAUGUCAAGAAUAAUUUAAUGGAGCAACAACAACAACAGCAAAUGUAAAUCCUUGUCUUCAUGUAAACAGCAGUUGUUGUGGGAUAUUGUCAGCAGGAGUGCUCAUUAAACGGAAAAACCUAGAUAUGCUGUGGUGUGCGCGCGUUUCUGUGGCUGACACUAAGCCACAGCUGCCAUUGGCUUUAAUAGAUUGGAUUCUCGGGCUGUGACAGACACAGCGGUUGGCGUCUAAUGUGAGUGUAAGUGACGCAGACUGGGUGAGAAACGAUGUUUGUUUCUGUCGCUCGCAGAGGUCUGUGCAUGUGUGAGAGCGUUUGAGGAUGUAAGCGAGUCAAAGGAAGACCCUCCACUUCCUGCGGUCCUGCGGCACACGCGCCGCGCCACGCUUCGGCUGCAUCUGAGAGAAACCAGAGGCCGCAUAAACGGACAAGACACAACUGGUCAUCUCCAGGAUCUUGUCGUCUGUCAAAUUUAGCCAAAGUCGUCAGAGAAGUCCCUCGUACGGCCGGUAAAUGGUUUCCCGUUCUUUCAUUAAAGGUUUACUGUGGGAAAGUUCUUUAAAUUCUGUGUCAGACCUGCUGCUUAUGGGGUUCCGUUUGUGCCAAAACUUUCUUGACGAGAUGGAGAUUCGAGGCGACGAAAUGAGGAAACGAAACAACGUACAUAACGACACUAGCAACAGUUGCUAAGGACUUUCCUGACGGCACUGACAAACUGUCAUGGUACCUCCGUCAGUCUCUCCUCCCCUCCCCACUCUGCUCUGCAUUCCUGAUUGGACCCAGCUGUCAGCACUCACCUCAUCAGCCUGCCUGCCUACUUGAGAGGUUUCUUCACCGGCAUUCAUCGCCAGUUCGUUGCCCCUUUAUGGACAAAAAUUCCACGAGUGUCUACCUGAGUCCUCUCAUCACGAGCAGCCUGAUCUCCAGCCGCCUCCAAGAACCUCCAGCCACGCCACAGUUCCAGACCAUCCACAAUUCCAAGCCUCGCCACAGCUCCAAGCCACGCCUCCACUCACUGCCACACCACAGUUCCAGACUAUGCACAAUUUCAAGCCUCGCCACGACUUACCUCAAGUCCCAAGUCCCAGUUCUUCUCCACGUCACGACCACAACUCACACCUCGUCACUGGUCCUCUUCCCGAACAAUAAAUCAUCUUGUUUUCCAACUAACUCUCUGGUGCUCUUUUCGGGUUCCAGCAUCUGGGUCUGUUUUGCUUAAGCGAAUCAUGACAGAAACGACAAUAACAAAGACAAAAGCAAAGUUUUAGACAUAAAGCAAGCUAAACCAUCACAAAGCAAACACAAAGUAACAAUCUAAGAAGUAUGGGUACGCAGAAGAUAUUGCUUAGUUCAUAGACCAAUGUUCAAUGAACUCGUUCAGUUGACAGACAAUGGACGCAAAAACGUACUUUAAGAUCAUAGAUCAUGUACAUUUUUUUCUACGGCAUGCCGUGGGUGACAGAUUGUAGCGACCACUUUUAAAACACGUCAAGGUAAAGGCACAUAUGUGUCACAGGCAAACCCAUGCAUGCUGCAGCCGUGCAGCUUACGAAGCACUAGAGUGUGGCUUGAAGACGCCACACAACAUUAUCACUCGUACGUCAUAAGUGACUUACUUUAGCCCUAUCAAUACUUCAUACACUUACCACACACACAUGACAAUGGUACAUUCCGUUUUCAUGACAUCCUUUGAGUUGGCCGUAUGACCGUCAUGACACUCCCCCUGAAGAUGCAGCCUCUCCAGUCUACAACCUUCCGUGGACCUGGACAAUCCAAACACCUGCAGCACCGGUACGAAUGCAUCUAAGACUUAAGGUGAACGUUGACGCCUUUAUGACACUUUUCUUUGGUUGAUGUCAUAAAUAAUUUUACAGUAUUUUUGUGGCUGCGCAU